rnacentral:tRNA from 1 species
GCCUGAUUGGUCUAGAGGUUAAGGAUCCAGGCUAGAAAACUGGAGACCGUGAGUUCAAGACUCACCUUAGCCA